rnacentral:rRNA from 1 species
UGGGGAAUAUUAGGCAAUGGGGGAAACCCUUACCUAGCAAUGCCGCGUGAAUGACGAAGGCCUUCGGGUUGUAAAGUUCUUUUAUCGGGGAAGAUAAUGACGGUACCCGAUGAAUAAGCCACGGCUAACUACGUGCCAGCAGCCGCGGUAAUACGUAGGUGGCAAGCGUUGUCCGGAUUUACUGGGUGUAAAGGGCGAGUAGGCGGGAAUACAAGUCAGAUGUGAAAUACCGAGGCUUAACCUCGGGGCUGCAUUUGAAACUGUAUUUCUUGAGUGAUGGAGAGGCAGAUGGAAUUCCCAGUGUAGCGGUAAAAUGCGUAGAUAUUGGGAGGAACACCGGUGGCGAAGGCGGUCUGCUGGACAUUAACUGACGCUGAGGCGCGAAAGUGUGGGGAGCAAACA